rnacentral:rRNA from 1 species
AACGAACGCUGGCGGCAGGCCUAACACAUGCAAGUCGAGCGCCCCUUUCGGGGGGAGCGGCGGACGGGUGAGUAACGCGUGGGAACGUACCCUUUGCUACGGAAUAGCCUCGGGAAACUGGGAGUAAUACCGUAUGUGCCCUUCGGGGAAAGAUUUAUCGGCAAAGGAUCGGCCCGCGUUGGAUUAGGUAGUUGGUGGGGUAAUGGCCUACCAAGCCGACGAUCCAUAGCUGGUUUGAGAGGAUGAUCAGCCACACUGGGACUGAGACACGGCCCAGACUCCUACGGGAGGCAGCAGUGGGGAAUCUUAGACAAUGGGCGCAAGCCUGAUCUGGCCAUGCCGCGUGAGCGAUGAAGGCCUUAGGGUUGUAAAGCUCUUUCAGGGGGGAAGAUAAUGACUGUACCCCCAGAAGAAGCCCCGGCUAACUCCGUG